rnacentral:rRNA from 1 species
AGAGUUUGAUCCUGGCUCAGAUUGAACGCUGGCGGCAUGCCUUACACAUGCAAGUCGAACGGCAGCAUGAUCUAGCUUGCUAGAUUGAUGGCGAGUGGCGAACGGGUGAGUAAUACAUCGGAACGUGCCCUGUAGUGGGGGAUAACUAGUCGAAAGAUUAGCUAAUACCGCAUACGACCUGAGGGUGAAAGUGGGGGACCGCAAGGCCUCAUGCUAUAGGAGCGGCCGAUGUCUGAUUAGCUAGUUGGUGAGGUAAAGGCUCACCAGGGCGACGAUCAGUAGCUGGUCUGAGAGGACGAUCAGCCACACUGGGACUGAGACACGGCCCAGACUCCUACGGGAGGCAGCAGUGGGGAAUUUUGGACAAUGGGCGAAAGCCUGAUCCAGCAAUGCCGCGUGUGUGAAGAAGGCCUUCGGGUUGUAAAGCACUUUUGUCCGGAAAGAAAUGGCUCUGGUUAAUACCUGGGGUCGAUGACGGUACCGGAAGAAUAAGGACCGGCUAACUACGUGCCAGCAGCCGCGGUAAU